CACAUCUCGUGGAGUCCAACUCCUAUCAGUCACAGUGCCUCGGGGAAAGUCUGGGGGUACAGGAUGAAUGUUCCACUGAGCUGCAGGUCUUCUGUGAAGUGUAACCAGAUAAGGUUAAAACCCAGCCGUACUGAACUGAAGAUGCUUUGCCUCUGAUGAAGUGAUCCGGAGAGUCACGAAAUGCGUAAGGCUAAAUCUGGUUACACUUCCCAGCUGCAGCUCAGUGGAACAUUCGACUUUUCCUAAAGCCGGCUAUCAGGAGGGGGUACUGUGACUGAUGGGAGUUGGACUCCAUGUGUCGUCACACUGACAUGCACCUCCUGUGGGUGUAUUUUAUUCAUUUUUAUGGAAAUAAAAAUACAACAACGAACAUUAUGUCUCUGCCUUUUGUAUUGUAGAUUAAUCUGAACUUCAAGCUGUUUCUGCAAGUGACUAUCUUGUUCCUGAAGGUUCGUCACUCUCCAGCCGUCCUGCAUUUUUUAAUAUUUUCAUGUAUCAGAAUUUUUACAUGUUUUGGAUUUGUCUCGUACU